rnacentral:rRNA from 1 species
AUUGAACGCUGGCGGCGUGCUUAACACAUGCAAGUCGAUCGGUAACAGGUGUAGCAAUACAUGCUGACGAGAGGCGGACGGGUGAGUAAUGCUUGGGAAUCUGCCUAUUAGUGGGGGACAACCCGGGGAAACUCGGGCUAAUACCGCAUACGCCCUACGGGGAAAGGCGGGGACGUUUCGGCCUCGCGCUAUUAGAUGAGCCUAAGUCCGAUUAGCUAGUUGGUAGGGUAAUGGCCACCAAGGCGACGAUCGGUAGCUGGUCUGAGAGGACGACCAGCCACACUGGGACUGAGACACGGCCCAGACUCCUACGGGAGGCAGCAGUGGGGAAUAUUGGACAAUGGGCGCAAGCCUGAUCCAGCGAUGCCGCGUGUGUGAAGAAGGCCU